rnacentral:tRNA from 1 species
UCCCUAGUGGCUCAGAAGGUAAAGAAUCUGCCUGCAAUGCAGGAGACCCAGGUUCAAUCCCUGGGUUGGGAU